AGCGAACGCUGGCGGCGUACUUAACACAUGCAAGUCGAACGGGGGAUCAUCGGUGUAGCAAUACAUCGGUGGUUCUAGUGGCGCACGGGUGAGUAACACGUGGGUAACCUGUCCUUGAGUUCGGGAUACCCUCUCGAAAGGGAGGCUAAUACCGGAUACGUUCCCCGGAUUGCGAAAUCUAGGGAGGGAAGGCGGCGCAAGCUGCCGCUCUUGGAGGGGCUCGCGGCCUAUCAGCUAGUUGGUGAGGUAACGGCUUACCAAGCUAUGACGGGUAGCUGGUCUGAGA
rnacentral:rRNA from 1 species